rnacentral:rRNA from 1 species
ACCGGCAGCUCAAGUGGUGGCCAUUUUUAUUGGGCCUAAAGCGUUCGUAGCCGGUUUGAUAAGUCUCUGGUGAAAUCCCGCAGCUUAACUGUGGGACUUGCUGGAGAUACUAUUAGACUUGAGGUCGGGAGAGGUUAGGGGUACUCCAAGGAUAGGGGUGAAAUCCUAUAACCCUGGGAGGACCACCUGUGGUGAAGGCGUCUAAAUGUAACGACCCUGCCGUUGAGUAACGAAAGCCAGGGGCGCGAACCG